rnacentral:lncRNA from 1 species
CCCCAUCCCAAGGGCUUUGUGGGGGAGUUCACCACAGCAUAUUUUCAAAUUAAAAGGCAAACAAAUUAAGGUACAGAGGUUCAGGACAUACUUACAAGAAAAAAUGGGUGGUGGGGGUGGGGAGUGGGGAGGGAUUACAUUACAAAUUCUUACUUUUAGAAAACGGAAAAAGGAGAUGCAUUUGCAAUAACUACUCCACAGCUGAGGCAAACAUGCGUCUGCAAAGGAAAGAGUUAUUUUCCCUAGACAGAGCAGACUCGAUAAGCAAUGUGUUUCUCUACUUUAAAAUAGCUAUUUCCCAUAUCAGCUUCGUCCUUACUAAAAUGUUCUACCCCAUCUCACAAAAAGACUAUCUUAAGUAAAAAUAUCUUAUGUUUGAGGUCAAUAAUAGAAAAU